CAGCAGCCGCGGUAAUACGAAGGGUGCAAGCGUUACUCGGAAUUACUGGGCGUAAAGCGUGCGUAGGUGGUGGUUUAAGUCCGUUGUGAAAGCCCUGGGCUCAACCUGGGAAUGGCAAUGGAUACUGGCAAGCUAGAGUGUGUCAGAGGAUGGUGGAAUUCCCGGUGUAGCGGUGAAAUGCGUAGAGAUCGGGAGGAACAUCAGUGGCGAAGGCGGCCAUCUGGGACAACACUGACGCUGAGGCACGAAAGCGUGGGGAGCAAACAGGAUUAGAUACCCGUGUAGUCCCUGUCUCUUAUAC
rnacentral:rRNA from 1 species